rnacentral:rRNA from 1 species
GUGGCAGCCGCGGUAAUACGUAGGGUACGAGCGUUAAUCGGAAUUACUGGGCGUAAAGCGUGCGCAGGCGGUUUGUUAAGAUAGGCGUGAAAUCCCCGGGCUCAACCUGGGAACUGCGUUUAUGACUGGCAGGCUAGAGUAUGGCAGAGGGGGGUGGAAUUCCACGUGUAGCAGUGAAAUGCGUAGAGAUGUGGAGGAACACCGAUGGCGAAGGCAGCCCCCUGGGCCAAUACUGACGCUCAUGCACGAAAGCGUGGGUAGCAAACAGGAUUAGAUACACUGGUAGUCCACGCCCUAAACG